AGUAUAUUCUGCUGACAUUCAGAAGUAACAUUUGAACAUGAAGAUCGCUGUUGUUCUUAUAUUGGCAUUAUGCGCCUCUGCCAUGGUGAGCGCCAAUAGCUGCAGUGACACUUGUUUAGCAAAAUACACGGCGUGUGAGCAAAGUUGCCGAGACAUGUGGGCCCACUCUCACCAAUAUGACACGUGUGCCACUAGCUGCACCGAUGAGCGCGCAUUUUGCGACUCAAAAUGCCACGGCGGCUCCGGGAAAUAGUUUAUAAUGUUAGUGUCUUAUUUUGUACCUCAAUCGCAUCAGGAAUAAAUUCUUG
rnacentral:misc_RNA from 1 species